rnacentral:lncRNA from 1 species
AUAAAGGCUAAGCUUAAGCAAGCUGGAACUGGAACCACAAUUUAAACUGUACUGUAACCGUCCGUUUACUUCUGAGCUGACGCACGCGACAUCACGCGAGUACGCAAUCGCAUACACGCCAGUAAGUGGUAUGUAUACACGUAUUUCGCGCCCUUUUCGUUUUGAAAUGUGAACUGUGAGCCCGGUACUGGCUGCUAUCAAGCUCUUGUCUACUGAUUUUUCUAAUUAUUAUAGUAUAUUAGUAUAUUAAUUAAUCAGUACAUUAUUAUAUACUGAUUAUUUUCAUACAAAACGUCUAUUGACGGGUAACGUUGUUACUCAUCACUUAGUUUUAAUUUACUUUUUUUUUUUUUUUAAUCGGAACUUUGCAGUGGAACAAGGUCUUGUUGACAUAAAUCAGCAAUCUAACAUAAUCCAACCAGUACGGGGGUGGACGACAUGAAGAAAAUGUUAAACAGUUGUUGAAUCAAAUCGACCUGAUAAUGGCGCAGCGAGGCCCAUACAAGAAGUAUCUUUUGGACGUGGAGGCCGAGAUGCCUGCAACUACCAAAAGGCGCAGGUUGCAGGCAAAAGAUGCCCAAACAAUACAUGGCGACAUAUGUUCUGAAAUGGAAUCUCAGGUUUGUGUGAUUUAA